rnacentral:lncRNA from 1 species
UUUGAAAGAUUGGGAAGAUGCUGAACGCCGAGUGCAACAAGAUUGGCAAAAUGCUUUAAUUAAACAAAUUGAGAGUUUGAAUGUUGAUCAAGAUGAAGUGGAUCCAGAUUAUGCAGAGUACUGAACAUUGAAGCCACUUCCAAAGACUAGAGAUUUUUUUUUCUUGUAACUUUUUGAAACAAUUUUUAUUAGUGAGAAGGUUGUAAAUUUGCAAAUGAU